GAUGAACGCUGGCGGCGUGCCUAAUACAUGCAAGUCGAGCGAACAGACGAGGAGCUUGCUCCUCUGACGUUAGCGGCGGACGGGUGAGUAACACGUGGAUAACCUACCUAUAAGACUGGGAUAACUUCGGGAAACCGGAGCUAAUACCGGAUAAUAUAUUGAACCGCAUGGUUCAAUAGUGAAAGACGGUUUUGCUGUCACUUAUAGAUGGAUCCGUGCCGCAUUAGCUAGUUGGUAAGGUAACGGCUUACCAAGGCGACGAUGCGUAGACGACCUGAGAGGGUGAUCGGCCACACUGGAACUGAGACACGGUCCAGACUCCUACGGGAGGCAGCAGUAGGGAAUCUUCCGCAAUGGGCGAAAGCCUGACGGAGCAACGCCGCGUGAGUGAUGAAGGUCUUCGGAUCGUAAAACUCUGUUAUUAGGGAAGAACAAAUGUGUAAGUAACUAUGCACGUCUUGACGGUACCUAAUCAGAAAGCCACGGCUAACUACGUG
rnacentral:rRNA from 1 species